rnacentral:tRNA from 1 species
GGAGAGGUGUGAGAGUGGUUUAAUCAGCACGCUUGGAAAGCGUGUGUACUGUUAAAGGUACCCAGGGUUCGAAUCCCUGUCUCUCCGCCA